UACGUAGGUGGCAAGCGUUGUCCGGAUUUACUGGGCGUAAAGAGCGCGCAGGCGGUCGAUCAAGUCGCGUGUGAAAGCCCCCGGCUCAACUGGGGAGGGUCACGCGAUACUGAUCGACUCGAAGGCAGGAGAGGGUAGUGGAAUUCCCGGUGUAGUGGUGAAAUGCGUAGAUAUCAGGAGGAACACCGGUGGCGAAGGCGGUCUCUGGGCAACAACUGACGCUGAGGAGCGAAAGCGUGGGGAGCGAACAGG
rnacentral:rRNA from 1 species